rnacentral:lncRNA from 1 species
AAAAUUAGCUGAAUUUUUAUUCACCAAUAGGCCAUCCAAGAUCAAAAUGAGUUUGUUUCUUCAUCAAAACAGAUUUGGAGAAAUGUAGCAUUACAUCACUUGCUCACCAGUGGAUUCUCUGCAGUGAAUGGGUGCCGUCAGAAUGAGAGUCCAAACAGCUGAUGAAAACAUCACAGUAAUCCACAAGUAAUCCACACCACUCCAGUCCAGUCCAUUCAUUAACUAUCCAUCUUAUAAAAGUGAAAAAUACCAUCAUUAGGGCGUUUUAACUCUGAACUGUCCAUAAUCAACAAUAACGCUUUCUCCAGUGGAAAAUUCCCUGUUGUCCUCUUACAUCAAAAUCCACUGGCAUGUCUGUUUAGAACCAGUUUGGAUGUUUUUUUUUUUUUUUUUUUUGCUUGUAAGCAGGGCAUAAUCUGUGCAUUUUUCUGUCCUGAUUCAGACAAGAUGACUUUUCACAAGAGAAGACUCAUAUUUUGUACAGAAGCAAUGGUUUGAUGUUUGAUUUGUUUUUCACGAACACAAAGCUUUUCGCUCCGCAAGACAUUAACUGAUGGACUGGAGUAGUUUGGAUUACUUGUGGAUUAUUGUGAUGUUUUUAUCAGCUGUUCAGACUCUCAUUCUGACGGCACCCAUUCACUGCAGAGGAUACAUUGGUGAGCAAAUUAUAUACUGCUAAAUUUAAAUUUAAAUCUGUUACAACGAUCUGUUACAAAAAUAAUCUUGGAUGGCCUGAGUGCAUUUUUUUCAGCAAAUUUUCCUUUUUGGGUGAACUAUUCCUUUUAAGUAUAUACAAAAAUGUGCUGUUGUGUUGCCCAUCUAAACAAACUUGACAGCUAAGGUUUGGCACAGCAAGCACAUUGUCAGAUGUCAGUUUUUGCCAUGUCUGAUGGAUGUGCUCUAUUGUAAAAUAAUAUAAAUGUAUUGUAAACACACCAAUCAUAAGAGUUUGGCUUACUGCUUUUUUACUAAUUGACUGUUGACGUAUGUUAAACAUUGAUGAAAUGACGUGUAGGCUGUUGGGUCUGAAUUUAUUUUGGAGAUUUUAUGUAUGAGGUUAUACAUUUCCUUACCAAAUUAAAAUUGAUUGAUUGAUUUUGAAAUGAAAUCCAGAAUCCUGUGUUAUUAACCCUGUGUUUAGUAACCAUGUCAUUUAAAUAUUAUUUCUGUAAUAAGGCCCCAGACUUCUAAAAGCCAAGUCAAGAGAGCAUCUCCACCAGGGGGAACCAUUUACAAGAAAAUAUUUGUGAUAUGUAGAAGAUACAUAAACUGCAAUUCAUUGUAGUUUGCAUUAAAUACAUACCUGCACACUAGAUAUUUGUUUCGUCUUUGUUUUGCUUUGAUUUAAAUCAGUGCCAGAUUCUGUUCAGUUUUACAGUGAAGUAAGACAAGCUAAACAAACAAAUAAAUAAAAACUGUUGGUCCAGAGUAAUCCAGAAUCUGUCAAACAUAUUGGCCUAACAUUA